UAAACUUUAAACCCAAACACAAUACGGAAAUUAGACUCUUCAACCCUAGAAAGCAACGAAGCUGCUAUUUCCUCGGUCCCUAGUUCUUCAAACCUCCCAUGGCUUCCGCCUGCAAUAGACUCGUCAACAGAAUGGCUAUUUCCUCCCUCAAAUCCGCCGUUAAAUCGAAAAUCCGAACACCUUUUGCCGGAUCUUCCACAUCGACAUCCUCACAAGCCCCUCUCUCAGGCGCUUUCUCAUCUAGAACUCCUCUUCUCAGAUUUUCUUCGUUGAGCAGAUCUCCCGUCGAACUUGGAUGUGCGCAGUCUCUGUUACCUCUCCACAGCGCAGUUGCUGUUGCGAGGCUUACCUCAUGUCUGAGCUCGAACUCGAGGAGUUGCCGCGCUCUCUCACAGGAUGGAAUUGAUGGUACGUGAAAACAAUUUUGCUUCAUGCGGUUUCAGAAGGUGGGUUCUGUUCUGUCAUGUAUGCUUCAACUAGUGUAUUGUCGUGAGACUGUAUUCUUACUUGUAGAAUCAUAUUUGGGCCAUCAUUAUUCUAAUUGAUUCUUGUUUAAACUGCACAUAUUUCUCUCAUGUGAAUCUGAUGGUGAGGUUGUCCCGCACUAAAUUUCACUUUGUGUUGGUCUUCUUUCUCUGCUCGUACCUUGUAACCAGAACCUGUUUGCUAAAGAUGUUGAGAAUACAGCUCGGUCUAUCAGUUCCAAGGUGACAAUGGGAGCAGGCCACCACCGUGACAAUGCAUCCUUUCUUGGCAUUGAACCUGCUGUAGUUCCUUCCCAUCUGUGUAACCAAGUUCGUGAUGGCCGUUCUCAAAACCUUAGUAAAGGCAGUAAAAUUGCUUUUUUAUUCUUCUCCAACAGAGGUUCAAUAAAUUAUUAUUUCAAGGAAAGAGAGGAGUUGAAGAGCUGGUCCCCCUUGUUCUUUGUUUUUCUGGUUGUUGCCAGACAAUUCUUACAGGAGUCUUUAUUUCCUCUUAUCCACUCAUGUGCUCUCUCUCUCCUACAUGGCAGUGUUGGAAGUGGUACACGGUGUACUGUAGCGAAUUGAGAAUCUGCGCUGCUGCAUGUCUGAGAUGUCAAUGCCUUUGGAACCAUGUAUGCUCUGAUGCUUUCUCAGGGAUAACGACCAAUGCAGCACGGAUUGUCACCCUCCCCACUCCCCAGCCACAUUGUGUACACAGAUUAAGUAGAUAGAUAUUGUAAAAAUGCAAUGCCCACGAUAUUAGAGUACACAGCUCAACAA